GCGGUGGUGGCGCAGCUGGGAGUCGCGUAAGUCUUAAUUAUACGACUAAUACAUAUCUGUCUAAUGCCUUCCUAGGUUAGACUGAAGUAAACUUUAGUCAUUCAAUCUAAAGGUCAUGUGUUCAAUCCACAUUCACCGCA